UGCUUGUUAUCUCUAUAAAAAUCAACCUGGGGCAAUAACAUAUUACACCAACAAUUAACUCUACUUGGGUUUGAAUCUGCGGCCUAAGGAACCUCGCUGCAGGUGGGUUCAGUACCAUAUGGAGCCAUGCAGCUCCCCAGGAAAGAAUAAACAUGUAAGAUUCACAAGGAAUUGCCAACGACUGGGUUAGUGGAUUCCAUGCUAUGCUUGCCAGGUGAGUAGUCUUUUGCAGAUUAGCCUUUGUUUCGUUGUCUGUUCGACCUUGAACACAUGGAUAUGGUUAGGACUAUUCAUUAAUUAAAAUUAAACCCUGAUUAGCUCAGAA